UACGUAGGGGGCUAGCGUUGUCCGGAUUUAUUGGGCGUAAAGAGCGUGUAGGCGGCCAUGUAGGUCCGGUGUGAAAACUCGAGGCUUAACCUCGAGAUGUCAUCGGAAACCAUUUGGCUAGAGUCCGGAAGAGGAGAGUGGAAUUCCUGGUGUAGCGGUGAAAUGCGCAGAUAUCAGGAAGAACACCAAUGGCGAAGGCAGCCCCCUGGGCUAGCACUGACGCUCAGGCACGAAAGCGUGGGGAGCAAACAGG
rnacentral:rRNA from 1 species